rnacentral:rRNA from 1 species
AGUGAACGCUGGCGGCGUGCUAAUACAUGCAAGUCGAACGGACAAGUAAGAGCUUGCUCUUAUGAGUUAGUGGCGCACGGGUGAGUAAUGUAUAGCUUAAUCUGCCCUACACUAGAGGACAACAGUUGGAAACGACUGCUAAUACUCUAUACUCCUCUCUAACAUAAGUUAGAUAGGGAAAGUUUUUCGGUGUAGGAUGAGGCUAUAUUGUAUCAGCUAGUUGGUGAGGUAAUGGCUCACCAAGGCUAUGACGCAUAACUGGUCUGAGAGGAUGAUCCGUCACACUGGAACUGAGACACGGUCCAGACUCCUACGGGAGGCAGCAGUAGGGAAUAUUGCUCAAUGGGGGAAACCCUGAAGCAGCAACGCCGCGUGGAGGAUGACACUUUUCGGAGCGUAAACUCCUUUUGUUAGGGAAGAACAAUGACGGUACCUAACGAAUAAGCACCGGCUAA